rnacentral:rRNA from 1 species
UACGUAGGGUGCAAGCGUUAAUCGGAAUUACUGGGCGUAAAGCGUGCGCAGGCGGUUGUGCAAGACAGAUGUGAAAUCCCCGGGCUCAACCUGGGAACUGCAUUUGUGACUGCAUGGCUAGAGUGCGGCAGAGGGGGAUGAAUCCGCGUGUAGCAGUGAAAUGCGUAGAUAUGCGGAGGAACACCGAUGGCGAAGGCAAUCCCCUGGGCCUGCACUGACGCUCAUGCACGAAAGCGUGGGGAGCAAACAGG